GCAAGUCGAACGCUUUGUCUUUAAUUGAUCUGACGAGCUUGCUCUGAUUUGAUUUUAUCUGACAAAGAGUGGCGAACGGGUGAGUAACACGUGGGUAACCUACCUCUUAGCAGGGGAUAACAUUUGGAAACAAGUGCUAAUACCGUAUAAUACCAACAACCGCAUGGUUGUUGGUUGAAAGAUGGUUCUGCUAUCACUAAGAGAUGGACCCGCGGUGCAUUAGCUAGUUGGUAAGGUAACGGCUUACCAAGGCAAUGAUGCAUAGCCGAGUUGAGAGACUGAUCGGCCACAAUGGGACUGAGACACGGCCCAUACUCCUACGGGAGGCAGCAGUAGGGAAUCUUCCACAAUGGGCGCAAGCCUGAUGGAGCAACGCCGCGUGUGUGAUGAAGGGUUUCGGCUCGUAAAACACUGUUAUAAGAGAAGAACGGCACUGAGAGUAACUGUUCAGUGUGUGACGGUAUCUUACCAGAAAGGAACGGCUAAAUACGUGCCAGCAGCCGCGGUAAUACGUAUGUUCCAAGCGUUAUCCGGAUUUAUUGGGCGUAAAGCGAGCGCAGACGGUUAUUUAAGUCUGAAGUGAAAGCCCUCAGCUCAACUGAGGAAUGGCUUUGGAAACUGGAUGACUUGAGUGCAGUAGAGGAAAGUGGAACUCCAUGUGUAGCGGUGAAAUGCGUAGAUAUAUGGAAGAACACCAGUGGCGAAGGCGGCUUUCUGGACUGUAACUGACGU
rnacentral:rRNA from 1 species